GCAUUGGUGGUUCAGUGGUAGAAUUUCUUGCCUUCCAUGCAUGAGACUGGGGUUCAGUUCCCGGCCCCUGUA
rnacentral:tRNA from 1 species